CACUUUGUUCAGCUUAUUCCUGAAAUAUGAACAGCUGGAGAAAUUACUUCAACAGUGUUUUUGAGAUAAAGUCUGAGCUGUAACUAUCCAAUGUCUGGCAUAAAGUGCCCAGCACACCCUACCUGCUUUCACAGAGUGAAUUAAUAGCAGUAAUAGUAGUAGUAUUAGUAAAAUCAAUGUUUAAAAGGAGUUUGACUAACCUAUGGCUUUUGGAGCACAUAUCGCUCCGAAACAGCUGAACUGUGGCUCUCAGACCACUUCUGGUGGCACAGCUAUUUAUGUGGAGGUUACCGGCCACUUGAAUUCCUGUCCAUGGAAGACAGCAAGCAGAGAGGCCACAGGUGGCAGUGGGGCCACUGCUGGAGCCUGGAAGCCAGCUGACAGCACACCCGUCAGCUCCUGUUCAGAUGUGGGAGCCCUGGGGAGAGACAGACACCACGAGCCUAUGAAUUUUCCAAGAGCUCACUCAUCCUUCAGUGUUACAGACUGGAACUGCCCCAGUGUGAGCCUGCUUUGCAGUCUACGUAGAUCAGUCUUGUCCUGCCCUUUCCUAUAUACCCCAGCCUUGUUCAGUUCUUCGUGUCUGGCUUUAGAGCACAGCCAAGGGAGCAGGUAGGAGGUUACGUAAUGGACAAAAUCAUAUUGCUGGAUUGAAUGAUGGACAUGAAGGAAGAAAAAUUACAAUAAGUGCAAUUGUCCAAGUCAUGGAGUCAGUGAAAAAGCUGUGAUCUCUCUGUACAGUAACGCUCUACAUUUACAAAGUGACUGAAUAAAGAAGAGAGAGGAUGAGUAUAGUCUGGGUCA
rnacentral:lncRNA from 1 species